ACGUACGCACGCCCUGGCUGCUAGGAACGCUAUUCUCUUUACCUGGCCCUGAUGCGCGCCAGCCAACCAGGCCAAGGCCAGGGGACCUCGAGACCGGCAGCCUCGACGAAGAACCGGAAGGAGGAAGAGGAACGGGAAGGAGGAAGAUCUCCCGCAUUGACUUCAUAACCAAGUUCUGGGUCCCUGCCACUGGAGUGCCUGAUGAGACAAAACGGCUCCUCGUCCUGCAUCCCCGCUGCUACUUCCAGAAUUCAGGCCUCGUGGCCUGGAGCCUGCACUGUUCCAUGAGCCCCCUGACCAACCUGGAGGCCUCUGUCUUUCUUCCCUCGGUGAGAUGCGCCUACUUCUCCCUGGAGAAGCUCGAGGAAGCAGAAAUGCUGGAGAUGAG
rnacentral:antisense_RNA from 1 species